UGAAAGAUCAUUUUUUUCUAGUUGAGGUGU
rnacentral:piRNA from 1 species